AGAACGAACGCUGGCGGCAGGCCUCAAACAUGCAAGUCUAGGGGGCGUAGCAAUACGUCACCGGCGGACGGGUGAGUACCACGUGGGUUAUCUACCGUGAGGUGAGGAAUACCGGCGAGAAAUCGCCGACAAGACCGCAUAGCCUCGGUGCAAGCCGAGGAAAGCUUUCUCGAGAGAGGGAGCGCCACACGAGGAGCCUGCGCCCGAUUAGCUAGCUGGUGGAGUAACGGUUCACCAGGGCGACGAUCGGUAGCUGGUCUGAGAGGACGAUCAGCCACACUGGGAUUGAGAACGGCCCAGACUCCUACGGGGGGCAGCAGUGAGGAAUUUUCGUCAAUGGGGGCAACCCUGAACGAGCAACGCCGCGUGCAGGAAGAAGGUUUUCGGAUCGUAAACUGCUUUUCGUCGGGGAAGAGAACGGACGGUACCCGAGGAAUCAGCCCCGGCUAACUACGCGCCAGCAGCCGC
rnacentral:rRNA from 1 species